CAAACCGUUGUGCCAGAGUUUGACGAAAGC
rnacentral:sRNA from 1 species